rnacentral:lncRNA from 1 species
CGCCAACCAGGAUUUCUGGACAACCUGGGGAUUUUGGGGAACACUACCCGGCAACCCCUGCGGCUCAGUCUAAACAAUCAUGACAUGAUGCUCCAAAUGGUUAUCCAAUCAUACUAUAGCGAUCUGAGCUUGCGUUUUAUGUAUUUUAAUUCCUUCAGAUCAUAUGAAGAUAUUCCGAUUUAUUCCAUCCAUUUCAAACAGUUCAAAUUAGUUGUACCUACCGACCAUUGAUUUGGGUAGAUCUAUCAGCCAAAUGUCUCAUUAAUUUAAUGUGACUUGCUUCAGCAGUCAACAUAUGAGCUUUAUCACACUUUGACUUAUUGCUGGCCCUAUCAAUCACCACAUCUUAAGACAUACGCUACCGUUCAAAAGUUUGGGGUCACUUAGAAAUGUCCUUGUUUUCCAUGAAAACAUACAUUAAAUGAGUUGCAAAAUGAAUAGGAAAUAUAGUCAAAACGUUAACAAGGUUAUAAAUAAUUAUUUUUCCUUGAAAUAAUAAUUGUGUCCUUCAAACUUUGCUUUUGUCAAAGAAUCCUCCAUUUGCAGCAAUUAUAGCCUUGCAGACUUUUGGCAUUCUAGUUGAGGCAAUUUGUUGAGGUAAUCUGAAGAGACUUCACCCCAUGCUUCCUGAAGCAGCUCCCACAAGUUGGAUUGGCUUGAUGGGAACUUCUUACGUACCAUACGGUCAAGCUGCUCCCACAACAGCUCAAUAGGGUUGAGAUCCGGUGACUGUGCUGGCCACUCCAUUAAAGACAGCUGGUAUUCUGACUGCUUCUUCCCUAAAUAGUUCUUGCAUAGUUUGGAGCUGUGCUUUGGGUCAUUGUCCUGUUGUAGGAGGAAAUUGUCUCCAAUUAAGCGCCGUCCACAGGGUAUGACAUGGCGUUGCAAAAUGGAGCGAAAGCCUUCCUUCUUCAAGAUCCCUUUGACCCUGUACAAAUCUCCCACUUUACCGCCACCAACACACCCCCAGACCAUCACAUUGCCUCUGCCAUGAUUGACAGAUGGCAUCAAGCACUCCUCCAGCAUAUUUUCAUUUUUUUUUAUGCAUCUCACGAAUGUUCUUCUUUGUGAUCCGAACACCUCAAACUUAGAUUCGUCUGUCCAUAACACUCCCCCCCCAAACUUCCUCUGUCCAGUGUCUGUGUUCUUUUGCCCAUCUUAAUAUUUUAUUUUUAUUGGCCAGUCUGAGACAUGGCUUUUUCUUUGCAACUCUGCCUAGAAGGUACUAUUUAAUGAAGCUGCCAGUUGAGGACUUGUGAGGAGUCUGUUUCUCAAACUAGACACUCUAAUGUACUUGUCCUCUUGCUCAGUUGUGCACCGGGGCCUCCCACUCCUCUUUCUAUUCUGGUUAGAGCCAGUUUGCGCUGUUCCGUGAAGGGAGUAGUACACAGUGUUGUACGAGAUCUUCAGUUUCUUGGCAAUUUCUCGCAUGUAAUAGCCUUCCUUUCUCAGAACAAGAAUAGACUGACGAGUUUCAGAAGAAAGUUCUUUGUUUCUGGCCAUUUUGAGCCUGUAAUUGAACCCACAAAUGCUGAUGCUCCAGAUACUCAACUAGUCUAAAGAAUGCCAGUUUUUUUUGCCUCUUUAAUCAGAACAACAGUUUUCAGCUGUGCUAACAUAAUUGCAAAAGGGUUUUCUAAUGAUCAAUUAGCCUUUUUAAAAUUUAUAAACUUGGAUUAGCUAACACAACAUGCCAUUGGAACACAGAAGUGAUGGUUGCUGAUAAUGGGCCUCUGUACGCCUAUGUAGAUAUUCCAUAAAAAAACAAAAUCAGCCUUUUCCAGCUACAAUAGUCAUUUACAACAUUAACAAUGUCUACACUGUAUUUCUGAUCAAUUUGAUGUUAUUUUAAUGGACACUAAAAAAAAAGUGCUUUUCUUUCAAAAACAAGGACAUUUCUCAGUAACCUCAAACUUUUGAACGGUAAUGUAAUUCCAAUCAAACCAAUGAACAGCCCUUUUAUCUAUCAGUGGGUGAUGAGGAACUAUAUCACCAG